rnacentral:snRNA from 1 species
AGGAUUUAGUAUCCUUAUGAUG